CGGUUAGACAUGUGCUCCCAAUAGGGAAGGCUGGGAAAUAAAGAAGCAGUCAAUCUCAAGUUAAGGUUAGCAAUUGAUUAACUAAAGGGAGGUACAAAGAAGUACAGCUCCUCGAGUUAUGGUUUCUGUUUCUUUGUGGAUCCUGUUUGUAAUAAUGCACCUGCUUGUAAUAAUAAUAGCACUCUGGAUUUCAACUGCAGCUUUUAUCUGAGCAUCUCAAAAGAGAUUGCAGGUAUUAAUUAAGCAUCACAAUAUCUUUGCUAUGGGCGGAGAAAGUGAUAGAUAAUUUCUGCUGCACAAACAUCAAUUUUGAGAUAGAAUCACCCGUGACAAAGUGACAGAGACCGUGCGCGCUAGGACUUGGGGUUUUAGGAGAGCAAGAAGAAUGAUAAGAGGUUUGGGAAACAUGAUUUACAAGGAAAUGUUGAGCAACCUGGUUUUUGCUCUGUCAGCUUAGGAGAAGACUGAAGGAAGACAUGAUAACAGCCAUUCAGUAUAUGAAAUAGCUUCGAUCCAGAGGUCUUUUUGGCAACCUAAUCUAUGUGUUGGUCUUCUGCACUAACAUGAGGUCUGCUCAACCAGCUCCACGUCUUCUCACAGUACAAAACACUUUCUGGAGCUGUUUUUCAAAUAUGUACAACCUACAGUAUACAAUAUGCUUCCAGAUAUGACUGUCAUGAGUAAAGGAAGAGACAAUGGAUUCAGUCCUAAACCAGAAGGAAAUCUCUUGGACAGGUCACCAAGGUGGAGUCCAGUCCUAUCCUCUUGGAAAACCUGAGAGGUAGAGAAUCUCCAACUAUCUCCGGUGCAGGAGAAAUCAACCCCAAGACAUCACUGGAGAUUUAUACCAUACAGUUGUUUGGGUCAAUAGGCUACUUAUGAGGAACCUAUAAACAGAAGAGUGUAUGUGUUGCAAUGCUACUCCAGUGGAGGACUAAACACAUCGAUGGAAAAAAUAGAAAACCAGGACUUCAUCUCCACUACAGAUGUGCUUAGCAUUAUAAUGAGUAGGCUCUCUAUCUUAUGAGGGAAGCUUGUCUGCCAUCCUCCUCUAAGCAAUAGGUCAUGAAGGCCAGUUCCAAUAACCAUUAGUGCGUAGCCAUUUUCAACUGCCCCACAUCCAAAUUGAUGCGACAGCUGAGUCACAACAGUAGUUCAGAGGAAGAAAAGGGGAACAAAAACACUGUCUAGCUGAUGACAAAUAGAUAGAAAAUAAACUGCAGAUGGACAGGCCACCUGAAUUUGCUUAUUCUUAUUGGUUUAAUUUUGCACGCUUGAUCUUUCAUCCUGAUUUUCAUUCUGAAACUGUCUGCUUGCAGUCCUAGUCCCCCUGCUCCUGCUAAUAUUGUUACAGGGCUUUGAUCUGGAGAUGUCACUCAGUUAGUAAAGACAAGAUGCAUGAUUUACUGAUGGAAAUGUUUUUAUUGUUCAAAUAUUCUGUAUGAGAAAGUGCCAAGGUUUCUUAUGCUGCUAUUGUAUACUGUGGUACCUCAUACAAAAACUCAGAGGCAAAAGAACCAAAGCAAAGAAAGAGAAGAAAAAAGAGCCACAGAGAAUGAGCAAAAUAUGACACUCAUAUCAUUGCAUGUCAGAAAUGUCACAUGGGUCCUGAAUACUGUCAUCAUUCAGCAAGGACAUCAGUCUGCAUCUGUCUCCAGACCUAUUUCACUAGGUCCAUCAAUAGAGCUCCCUAGAUACUUCAUUGUCACCUGUCAAUCAUGCUCUAAAAAUAAAAGUCCAAAUGACAUUAA